rnacentral:rRNA from 1 species
GGGUCAGUAGGUUGGUCGUGCCACCGGUACGUACUGGUCACACUGAUUCCUCCUUCCUGAAGAACCGUAAUGCCAUUAAUUUGGUGUUGCGGGGAAACAGGACUGUUACUUUGAAAAAAUUAGAGUGUUUAAAGCAGGCUAACGCUUGAAUACAUUAGCAUGGAAUAAUGAAAUAGGACGAUCGAUCCUAUUUUGUUGGUUUCUAGGAUUGACGUA